rnacentral:lncRNA from 1 species
GUGUGAUAUGUGUUGUGGAUGUAGAUGACAGAUGUAGAACAAAUUUAAAAUUUGACAAAACACCGCUAAGGUGCAGAUGUAGUACUGAGUGCCGGGUAUAAAAAUUGUGAUGCGUAAGAAGCGUCUCACACGUCCCUUUGUAGUGGCGCUGGGAGUUGCAGCUGAACACAAAAUAAUUACAAGCAGCGAAUGAUAUUAUCGCAUGCGAUAAAGUUAGAUAAAUUAUGCUGACAGAAUCAAAGCUUAGCUCAGCAAAGCUUAGCUGUUAAAUCAGCUGAUUGGGUGAAGCUUUCGUUGAUGACAGCUGUCAACAUAAGCUUUUAGAACACGGUUUUAGCACUUCCGAUCGCAUUUAAACGGGACGAGCCCCAGAAAAAUUCUUCUUUUCGUCUAUCUAAAAUUCUGAUCGGUUCGUGACCCGUCCGAUAGUGAGUUAAUUUUUUUCCGACCAACCACGUGUGUGUGAAAAAGUAAAAAUAAACGAACGCCGUGCAGUGAAUAUAAAUAUCAGUGAAUUUAAAUUUCACCUGGCCUAGAGCCAUCCCAACGUUUUUGGGCGAGCGUGCAAUCCACGCAAUCCCAAACUUUUUGGACUGGCGUUCAAUCCACGUCAUCCACGACAGAAGAGAAAUAUAAUUAUCCACGGAAAUCCCGGAAAGAUUGGUAGGUCCAAUGUGGGAGAGACCCGAACAAAGGUUCUUAUAAUAGCUCUUGGCUGUAUUCCUUCCCCCCCCACAGGGCUUCGCUACGCUUUCCCCCCACACUCAGCCAGAGCAGCAGCGCAUUGACGUUUUGUUGGCAAUACGCUG